rnacentral:rRNA from 1 species
GACGAACGCUGGCGGCGUGCUUAACACAUGCAAGUCGAACGGAAAGGCCCGGCAGUUGUGGGGUGCUCGUGUGGCGAACGGGCGGGUAACACGUGAGUAACCUGCCUUUGCCUUUGGGAUAACUACAGGAAACUGGGGACAACUCCGGACGGGUGCGCCCGCUGCACGGCGGGGGUGGGAAAGUUACGGCGGUUGGGGAUGGACGGCCGGCAUAGCAGCUGGUGGGUGGGGUAGUGGCGUACCAAGGCGUUGACGGGUAGCCGCCCUGAGAGGGUGACAGGCCACAGUGGGACUGGGGAAGCGGCCAGACUCCUACUGGAGGCAGCAGUGGGAAAUUGUGCGCGAUGGGCGGAAGCAGUAAGCACCAACGUCGCGUUCGGGAUGACUGUCUUCCGGUUGGAAACGGCUUCCGCCGGUUACGAAGCAGGAGUGACGGUAAUGGGUAAGGAAGCCACGGCUAACUACGUG